rnacentral:lncRNA from 1 species
CAUGGUAGCUUAAUGCUUAAAUCGAUGUAUGGUUAAGGGUGUUAUGCAUGCCUAAUAUGAUUAGAGUUUGUUGUAUUUAUUGGAUAUGCUUAUCAUAUGUUAUAACUUUAAUUGCACCCUUAUUUGAUUUUGGCAUGAUUAUAUGUUUGUUAGUAUAUUUUAUGAUUACAUGCCAUAUUGCAUAAUAUGUAAAGUACAUUUUAUAUAGUCAUAGUUAAGAUGUGCCA